GAGAGGAAGCCAUACAAACUGUUUGGAAUGGGGCAAGGAAGCGAACAUGCAUCUCAGCAAAAUCUCCAGUGUGCCCUUCGAGCUCUACCAAAGCCCAGCCCUUUCCCUGGCUCUAUCUUGUCAUGAGAACUCUGACCCAACCUGCUCCUGCACUCGUGAAAAUUCACGUCUCUGAAAAAAAGAUGGACCCAAGUAGGAACAGGAGAAUGUACAAAAUCCCUUUGCAUCCACCCACAUUUACCUCAUGACUUUUCUCCGAGUGCUCGCUGCUGUGGUUUUGUGGUUUCCACACCUAAUGACACAUUAAACAUGUCACCUGUC